CCACACGAUUAUCCAUUCCUCUCUUCAUGGUACUCAUCUUCAUUGUUUACCAAGCUUCUUCAUCUCAUGCUGAAGUGCGCGAGGACGGGAACGUGAAACUUGAAGAGUCUGGUUUCGUACACAUUGCUAAAGAAGUGGCUGAGGACGGAGCAUCUGUUGAGGAAAGCGAUUGUCCUCCCGGCCUCUGGUGUCGUUCGGCGUAAAAAUGGCAGAGGAAAUGCUGGAGGACCGAAUGAGAACUGGAAAUGGGAUUAGGAUUAACAUAAAUGUCUACAAACGUAAUCGAUAAUCCUGAAUACAUUCAUAUUCCAUCAUCAAAAUCUGUAUAGUACUGCAUUAAGCAAUGUCAUUAUUUUGAAUCAAUGUUGUUUAUCACAAAAAUGUUCAUCAUGUUCACUAUGACCAAGAAAUACAAUUACAACACCACCUUAGCUUACUUACUAACUCAAAGGUCAAGUACACCCCAGAAAAAUGUUUAUUUUAAUCAAUAGAGAAAAAAUCAAACAAGCCCAAAGCUGAAAA